UUGUUUUUUUGUUUUUAAUUAUGAGUCCUCUACAUUCUACACUUUUUUAUUUCUCUGCUGUGAUGUUAACUAUUUUUUCAUGUUAGUAUUCAUCAUUAAGACUGUAGCAAUGUAAAUAAAUGACAAAGGUUGUAGUUCUUGCAAACAAUGCUGUCAUGUUAUGUGUCUGAUUGUUAUAUGCAAUCAGCAGCCAACUCACAAUAGAAAGUUUGUCUUUAAAUUUCACUUUUUUCAAUGUUGUUUCC